UACGGGGGGGGCAAGCGUUGUUCGGAAUUACUGGGCGGAAAGGGCUCGUAGGCGGCCAACUAAGUCAGACGUGAAAUCCCUCGGCUUAACCGGGGAACUGCAUCUGAUACUGGAUGGCUUGAGAUUGGGAGAGGGAUGCGGAAUUCCAGGUGUAGCGGUGAAAUGCGUAGAUAUCGGGAGGAACACCAGUGGCGAAGGCGGCUACCUGGCCCAUUCUUGACGCUGAGGCGCGAAAGCCAGGGGAGCGAACGGG
rnacentral:rRNA from 1 species